rnacentral:rRNA from 1 species
GACGAACGCUGGCGGCGUGCUUAACACAUGCAAGUCGUGCGGAAAGGCCCCUUUUUGGGGUGCUCGAGCGGCGAACGGGUGAGUAACACGUGAGUAACCUGCCCUGCGCUUGGGGAUAACCCUCGGAAACGGGGGCUAAUACCGGAUGGUCACAUGCUGUCGCAUGGUGGUGUGUGGAAAGGAUUUCGGUUUGGCGUGGGAUGGGCUCGCGGCCUAUCAGCUUGUUGGUGGGGUAAUGGCCUACCAAGGCGACGACGGGUAGCCGGCCUGAGAGGGCGACCGGCCACACUGGGACUGAGACACGGCCCAGACUCCUACGGGAGGCAGCAGUGGGGAAUAUUGCGCAAUGGGCGAAAGCCUGACGCAGCGACGCCGCGUGAGGGAUGAAGGCCUUC